GUGAGCUCCAGCAGCAGCCCAAAGUCCCCCAGCUUCAGACGGCCCGACCGAGUCAGGAAGACGUUGGCAGGCUUGAGGUCCAGGUGGACAAAGCCCCGGGAGUGGAGGUGCUGCAAGGCGGACAGCAGGUCGCUCAGGCAGCCUUGAAACCCAGGAUGUGAGGAUGGGGACAUAAGCGCUCAUGGUUCCUGGCCUCCCUGACACUUCUCUGCCGGUCUCUAUCACCUCGGAAACGCUGGACUGAGCGCUUGAUUGCAUAAUGCUGUCCGUCCUGGAGACUGAGGACCUACGAUGAUAAGAACGACGAGAAAUCUGAUACAUGAAGGAAAAAUUUAACAAGGAAAAUCUAAGGAAAUAGCUCUGGGAUUUUAUUGUGCCAUCUGUCCCUCAGAGGGAGUAAUGUACAUCACCUGAGCAAUACAGUCCUGUUCAUUUGCCAUGCUACUUACCUUAUACACUUCACCGAAGGAGCCCCUCCCCAGCAAGCCAAGGUUGAUGAAACACUGGCUGAAGAAGGACUGGGAUUUGCAAGGAUCAUAAAGUGAUGGAGGAGGGGGAGGCUGGGUAAAGGAACAGGAGAGGGGUGUCCAGGGGGAUGGAGACUGAUG